rnacentral:lncRNA from 1 species
GCUGCUGCUUCGCCACUUGCUGCUUCGCCACGAAGGAGUUCCCGUGCCCUGGGAGCGGGUUCAGGACCGCGGAUCGGAAAUUCUCCAGUACAAGAAGAGGUUCUCGGAGCUGGAGCAGCUGUUGGAGAGAUCCGGAGAGCUGGAGCAGCAGCAGCUGAGGGACGCAGAGCACAGCCAAGACCUGGAGAGUGCCCUCAUCUGGCUGGAGGAGGAGCAGCAGGGAGGGCCAGGGCUGGCAGCAUGGCCCCCUGGGCGAGCGCCUACUGAUCCCCUGUGCCCCAUUCAGGAGUGCCAGCCUGGCCCAGGUGAAUGCCAUGCUCUGAGAACAGCUGGACCAGGCAGGUUUGGCCAACCAGGCUCUGAGUGAGGAGAUACGAAAGGUGACCAGUGACUGGACUCGCAGCUGCAAGGAGCUGGAGCAGUGGGAGGCGGCAUGGAGGCGCGAGGAGGAGGUGGGCAUGGGGGUGCAGGGAGGCCGGCGAUAUAAGAGGAAGAUAAUGCACAAUUAUGCUAGUGAGACUCUCUUUUCCAAUAAUGUUUGCACUUCUCAAUACUACAUUUAAAAAGGAAAUAGGAGCACUUGAACGGUUAAGUAAGAAGAUGAACAAAAUUGAACAGAGGAAAAAUAACUGUCUGAAGACAUGUUGAAAAUACAUUUAAAGACAGUCUGUCUGAGACAGGAGCUGAGCUGGCCAAUCCAUCUUUUAAAUAAUUGAACAUCAUUCAGGUGUCAAGUAUUUGACCUGGAGCCUGGAAGGGGAGGAGAGAGUCCAAAAAAAAGUCAAAAUAUAAAGAAAAAAAAUUAAAGAACUUGUCCCACAAAUCAGGCAACCAAGGUCUAAACUUAUACCCUCUGCCUGGGUAAAUUGUUGUUGCUUCUUUCUGUGACUCUUAAAAGAUGUACCAUAUACCUCAUUUAAUGACUUUGCUUUAUUCAUGAAAACUCUAUCCCCAUGGGAAAAGCUGUUAAAUGAAAAAAGAUUUCUUUUAAGUAGAAAAAUUAUGAAAGGAUUCCUUCCAACCCUCCAUACCCAAAAUAUCUCAAAUGAAUUAUGUAUCUAUCAAUUAUCAAUAUAUAUCAAAAUAUACCAAUUAAAAAUAUCAGUUAAACAAUACGUCAAUUGAACUAUGAAAGCAAGCUUAUUUAAGUAGCAAAGAAUAACGUGAAGGUUAGUAAGUAUAGCUUAUACUUAAAAUACAAUGAAUUGAAAGCUCAUGGCACUUCAUAGAGUAGGAAGAAGAAACUUAAUAGAAAGUGGUAGUUGGGCGAGAAGGACUGCAAGGGAGUUAUUUGGAAAAUGCAUUUUUUAUUUCUGCAUCAUUUUGUUCACAAAUUAUUCCUAAUCUUUUGUGAAUUUGUGGAUUUCUUGAACUCAAACCAGACUUAAAAAUACAGUUAUAGCACAGAAAAAAAUCUUUAAUGGCAAAAUAAAAGCUAAGCAAGAGAGCCUUUCAAAACACAUGAAAAUAACACACACAUACAAAAAAAAAAGAAUAAAGAGAUGUACAAGUGACACCUCCUCAACCUUCUCACUUGGUGUACAUAUGCACAGUAAAUUAUUUUGGGCUCAGCCAAGCAUGGGAGCAAUUCAAAUAGAUCCAUAUGAUAUUCUCUGAUUAGAAACUCUUGUGGAGUAAGUUGGUGAGUGUAUCUUUGCCUAAAACAGUCAUGUCAAAAUAUAGCUUCCUAUAGCAUAUUUAUUUAGUAUCAUUUUGGUGAAAAAGUGGUUAUACAGAAUAGAAAAGAGUUGUCCAAAACUAAGUGGUUGACCUUUCCAGAGCCAUUACCUGCAGAAUUGUUAUGUAAGUCUGUUCCAUACUCGUAAAGGAAUACUCAGCUGACCCAACUGAUUUUCUCGUGUUUUUUCCUUCAAGGGCUAGUAGAAGUCUAUAUGUUGUGGUGGAAAACAACCUCAGCCCUAUAGUCCAACAUUUGCCUAUCAAAACUUGUCCUAUGAUUUAUAAAACUAGAACCUCACUGGUAAGUCACAUUCCUAGAGUCUCCCCCAUCCCUAACCCCAGUCACGGAAAAUAAAUCAAAUCAUUGUCACUCUUUCUUAACAAAGAGCAUACAUUUAAAACUUGAGUAAAAUUACAGGUACCGUCUGGGGCCUUCAAGGGGGAACUUGAAGUCUCAAUACCGCAGUUGUCCAAUCAGAGGAUCCAAGAUGAAUAUACUCAAGGACUUUAUGCUUGGCAUCCUCUGGAGACAGUACAUAACCACCAGCUUGGUUUAACUGGAGAUUCAUUUGGGUUAGGAGAAAUUAUGUAGGCAAUGUACUUAGUCAAUGGAGGCCUCAUGCCUGAAGACUUACAAGAAUCUGAAUUCGUAUGUUACUUUUCCUUUAAUGGAGUGGAAUUCCAAAUGAAAAUAAUCAAACAGCAUGUGCAUAAACAUUAGAUAUAAUACCCACAUUUACAAAGCCUUUAUAGAUAUGCAAGUGUUAUUGCGUCUGUCCCUAGCUUCUGUACAGAAUUUAAUGGGUAGCUGUUACUAUUUUAUUGCUGUAUAAAAAUGAGGAAACUGAUAAGUUGUCUAAAGGUGCACAAUCAAAACACAUCAAAGCCAUUGUGAAAUACAGGUCCCCGGAUUUCAAAAACAGAUCUUCUGCUUAUAAAUUCAGUCUUUUUCAUACUGCCAUAAACUCCAGAAUGGGAAAACAAAGUUACUAUCAGAAAAGCUUCUUUUAGCUGGGCGUGGUGGCUCAUGCCUGUAAUCGCAGCACAUUGGGAGGCCAAGACAGGCGGAUCACUUGAGGUCGG